GGCUAACGCUGGCGGCGUGUCUUAGCCAUGCAAGUCGAGCGGACUUAUGGGGGUAACUUAUAAGUCAGCGGCGGACGGCGGAGUAACACGUAGCUAACCUACCCUCUGGACGGGGAUAACCUACCGAAAGGUGGGCUAAUACCCGAUGUAGUCAUCCUGUAUAGGGGUGAUGAAAGGUGGGCUUCUGUUUACAAGCUCAUGCUGGAGGAGGGGGCUGCGGCCUAUCAGGUAGUUGGUAGGGUAAUAGCCUACCAAGCCGAUGACGGGUAGCCGGCCUGAGAGGGUGACCGGCCCGAGGGGCACUGAGAUACGGGUCCCACUCCUACGGGAGGCAGCAGGCUAGAAAUUUGGGCAAUGGGGGAAACCCUGACCCAGUGACGCCGCGUGCAGGAAGGAGCCCUUCGGGGUGUAAACUGCUGUCGUGUAGGGAGAAGGGUACUAAGGUGAACAAUCUUAGUACUUGACGGUACUACAGGAGGAAGCCCAGGCUAACCUCGUG
rnacentral:rRNA from 1 species